UUUUCUCUUUUCCCCUCCCUUUCCUCCCUCUCCCCGCAACCGGGACUGGAGUCUCCUCAGCGAAACUCCGGUGCUUUCGCAGCCGCAGCCUACCAAAGAGAGAUACUAGCUGGAGGCAAGACCAUUGCUUGUCUGAAUGGUAUUUUAAGUAACAUACAACCUGAUACUUGCAUUAGUAUAAAGUGCAGGAGGAGAUGAAGACUUGGAGCAAUCUCAGAC